ACCCAGUUAAAAAGAGUGCGUUGUGUAGAACAGUCAUAAGCAGUCCGCUAAGAGAUUAGUAGCAACUACGAAGUGAAGUCGCAAACAUGUGCAAGGCUGUUGUAGAUUGUAAAGAAAGAAUGAAGGAUUGGAAGAGUGUGAGGAGACGCUGAGCAAACGGCCUUCAAAUCGAAAGUGGUGUGAGUCAUGGGCGCUGCCACCAUCUAUGCGAAAAGCCCACCAAGCAUUGGUCACGGAGCACACUCGUUUCCUGCUCCUCGCACGUUAAUGGCAACGAUGAUGAGGAACGGAACACAAACAAGAAACUACGUCGCAGUGGGUCACUGAAUGAAUCCGCGUCCCGGUAGCAACAAUAGUUCGACUAUGGCUGGUACUGGUAAAGAAGAAUCCCGAACACGAUCGUCGCAGUGACGAUGACGUUGCGUUGUAGAAUUACUGAGUGAGUCUCAACGUCUGUCCGAGUCCCCCCACGUCCACCGCCAGGCACUGAGUUCCGCAAACCAGCCGAUGGCCGAUUCUACACAGAUCGCCGGAGCAGGGAGCAGCAGCAGCAAACACCACCGAGUCUCCUCUGCAUGCCAAUGCCCAUGCAAUUCAGUCGCAGCGGACAGAACAUUGGGGACAAGGCGGAAUGCGCGCGGCAGCAGCUCCAGCUCGCAUCAGCUUACCUGCGUUUGAAGCUCUCGUGCUGUUGCCAACCACCGACAAUCACCACCUAUUCUGCAUUGAACGCUUCGCAGCUGCUGAUCACCACCCACCCAUCCGCACAGAUACACGGUAUUUGGUAUAUCAGCUGCGAACAAAAUAUUGCUUUUUAAACAAAAUUCCAGAGAAAAGAACAGCGGAGCAUUCAUUUAUCAUCGAAACGACAUUGAGGAACUGCUGUAAUCCUUUCGGGUGAACACCGUGUGCGAUUGUUAUUGUGAUAUACAAUUGAAAGGCAGUCGUCGAGUUUUUAUCUUUCUGUCUUCGCUCGGUACACUUUUCUGGACUUCUCUUUCACCGUUUGUGAUUUUGGCAAGCGAUUAUUGGACCCCUUUCCAUUCAAACUCCCCAUCUUCCUAAUCAAUAGGCUAGAUAAGGCCGCUUAAAUCUUUGUAGCUGCAUGUCACAGUUGAUCGGUUCCUGUGGGUGCUUUUGUUUGAUGGGAUUGCUUUGCGGUCUUCAAGUAUUCACGGUCUUGAGGGCUCCAGACGAGGAUCUUUCCAGCAAAUCUAUGCGCAAGCAGGCGUCAAAGAGUUUGUAGACUAGGCACGACCAUCACAUUUCGUUUUUUUUUUUUUUUUAUAGCGUUGCAUCGCAGUUGAUCGGUGCCUGCGGGCAUGUAUAAAUGGAAUCUAGCGAGGCGGAAGAUUGAGGUCUUCAAUUCUAUGGCCCCAAACAACGCUCCUGCGACAUCAAUCCCUCAAUUAGAAUAUGUGCAAAGAAGCAUAACUAAUCAACUGAACAAGCGUAAAAGCUAAGAUAUAUGCAACCGAUAUCUUUUCUUUCGUAUUUUGUAGAAAUACAUUUUCAUGGACUGAUAAUCUACAGAGAAUACCAACUCGGCGCUAUGGGCCCGCCCAAUACAUGUAAAUUUGUGAUUUUAUGUCCAAAAUAUUUUUUGUCUUGUAGCAUUAUGGGUGCAGUUGAAUGUACCUGCCCAUAAUUAAAGCCUGCAAAUCAAGAGUUAUUGUUAAACGCAAGAGGGAACAUUUUGAACAGACUCAAAUCUGUACACGGCCUCUGUAAGGAAUGUGCAAUCGAUACCCUUUUCUCUCGUAUUUUAUAGAAAUACAUGUUGUGGAACAGUUUAGAUGCUAUGGAAUUGUACCACGUAGUUGGACCACCACACAAAUUUAAUUAAAGUAUGGAGAAAAACUUUUUUCUGUUUUCAAGCUGUUCCCGUUGAAUGUGCCUGCCCACAUCUCAUCUAUAGCUUCUGAGUAAAUCCAACAGCGAACCGUCUAUUCUUGGGACUUUAACAGCGUUUGAGAAAUGGUUGGAUCUUUACAUUGCUCAUUUAAUACUAAAGUUAAUCUUCUUUCCCAAUACCUAGACGCUUAUUUAUGAAUUCAUUGCAGUGUUUAUACAGAGACAUCGGUUUCAAGCAACCAGUCUUAUCAAUCACAUAGUUGACAUACCAGUGCACAUUUGCCUGUAUUAAAACCAACCGAGAACAUGUAGCAAAAUUUCUUGAGGCAAUGGGAAUCAAAUGCCAACUUGAAAGCAAUAACACCAACACUAAGUCGUCGCAGUCCAACAUCCAUACUACACGGCGAAUUCGAAUUGAAGACGCUGGUCAGGUCUGAACCCAACUAGAACCCGCUUACACCUGUUUUUCAGCAAUUUUUCUGGUCAGGAUGUGGAUUAUCUGUCACAGAAACUUCGUUUGUCUUGAGCGUCGCUAAGAUUGGCCGUUUGACCCUCCCAAAAGUGAGAUUCUAAGCAGCCUUAAAUUUAUUUUACAAUUCUUACAGCGGUGCCGCACAGUUGAGUGUGCCUGUGGGCAUCGACUAAGCAAUAUUUGAACCGAAGGGCAGGGCAGUGGACCGUUCCGUUGAUGAUGAUGUGCACCGCUCCGAGCUGGCUAAGUCUACUGCUGUGCUGCUGCAAAUCGUUAAAGGGAACCCAAAACGAUGCAUCAAGUCCAUCCAGUUAGGCUUCUCUUCCAAAGCACAGCUCACCUGCGCUACAACGACAACCAAUUCAAUCGCACCUGCUUCUGCAAGCGAUCACAAUACGUCAAAUGAGCAUCGAGCACAGAAAGCAAGCAAACAACCAGGUUAAUGGCUUCCUCUGCUGACUAUGAAACUAUACGCCUUUACAUUGCAGCCAAGAAGCCUCUUAGUGCAUAUUCAACUACCAGCACAGAGCUUCUCAAUGACUGGAGUAAGCAUUGUUCUGACCGCAUCGGACCCUGACCGAGUCCGACUUGGGUGCCUCUGGUCGCAAGAUCUACAUUAGGACAGAGCCAGAAUAGGAGCGCUUAUCUAGCGCCAUGAUGUGCUGAGCUGAACCUAAGCACGUACUGCAUUGCACCGCACAGAUAUGUGCGUUCGGUCCACGCUAAAGGGAAUCAAAUGCGUUUGGACCGAGAGCCGAUACACCGCACCAUCACCAGUAUUCGCUGUGAAGUGAGCUGAUGUGUUGUCGUUGUUACAGGGCUGCUGCUGCAACUGCUCCACAGGUAUCCUCGCCUAGCGUCGGUAACUAUCAUUUGUCAAUUUUAGCGGCCGGCAGUGUACAUCAAACAUUGAAGUCCGGAGUCCGGAGUGGCAUGUAAUUAACGGCAGAUGUGAAACCAGCAAAUGGUGCUCAAGCAUUCCAUUUUAAAUCUGAAGAUUGUCAGCAGUAACAGUUAAAGACUAUCGACGCAGACUUGCAGAACGAAGCGCAGGAAGGACAAAGCACUUCGAUCACCAGCGGGUUGUCGUUUUACUUGCACUUUCCUUCCGUAGGUAGCCCAGAAUUCGAGAAAGCCCAUAUCCAUCGCAAAGGGAAACAAAUGCGAUUAGUGUUUGAAGACCAAGCUGGGUGUCCAAUGUGUCGCACCACGAUUAGCCAGUUGAGCCCAUAACUCCUGGCCCGCCGAUCAUCGUACCGCAAAAGGGAAUCAAAUGCGAGGUGGUACUACAGCAGUCGAGCUCCUCGUUGAGCUCCUGGUUUAAGUCGAACUCCCAACUGAGCUCCUGGUCGAGUUCUUCGCUUCAGCGUUUUUAUCGUAAAGGGAAUCCAACGCGAUGUACAGCGACAGCGGCAGGCAGGGUCACCCAAUACACAAAGAGUCAAUGCAGACAUCCGACUUCGCUGACGAUUGCAUCGGGACUGCAUUACCCUAGGAUAGACGGUCCGGUCUAGAAGUAGCAGCAAGAGUCAGUUAAAUAUCAGUACCGCUAUUAGCAGAAGAUUCAUGGCAGUAAGAUGAUGUGGAUGCACCGUACAUAGACGUUUCAAACUGCAGAGGAUCGUUUGACCCCCGAACCAAGGCAGGGAGACCAUACAUACACAGGCGGAGGCAGUGCUGACCCUCAAUACAUUCGAGUAUUUCAACACUCUACCUUUUACCUAUAUUUACUGGGCAUUCAAUCACCAAAUUCGCAUCCUGGGUCUAUUUGGAGCAUAUUAAGAACGAACACUACACGGCGUAGGAGCACCACACGAUUUGGUCAUUUUUAUUAUGAGAAGUCCUAAAAUCCUCCUCGGAUCAUUCCUCAUUAUCUGCAUUUGGAGCAACAAGUAGGCUGGAGGUAUCAUUUCUUCACUAAGCACCAUCGAUUUCACACUACUGGCUUGGGAUAGCACCUAAUUCUUUACGAGUUUCGGCACUGAUGACGACUUCAAUCCUUGUUUCAACCCGUACCCCUUCGAACCAAUAUAAAAGUUGGAUUGCAUACAGCUUUCGCUUCGCUACACACUGGUCGAUUCUUUUUCUUUGUGAGGACCCUUCGUGAGGAUAUUAGAUUUGUUGAAGAAUGAUUCUCUAACUUGGACUGCGGCGUGGGAUUCAGUCUAAUUUAACCAUCGACAGCGGCCUAGGAGUAAAUUUGGACAGCGGCGUGGGAUUUUCGGCUCUCAAAGACGACGGCGGCGGACGUACGGAUAGUUCAGACUGCGGCGAGGGAUAUCAAGUUUUUGCAACGCGGGAUUAUUAGGGCGUUUAGGCCAGGGCGCUAGGAACCAUAUUCUUAAGACUACUGGAAUUUACAUCAAUGGAGAUGACUGCGGCGUGGGAGACGGAGAUCGGGACUGCAGCGAGGGAUCGAGGUUCUGGACAGCGGCGCGGGAUUCUUAUAAGAUUGGACGGCGGCGUGGGACCUUUUUUGACGGCAGCGUGGGAGUUUAGGACUGCAGCGCGGGAAUUUCUGACGGCGGCGAGGGAUCCUCGGUUUAAUUUUUCGGCAAUUGGUCAGCCAUCGCAUUCCAUAUACAUGCGUGUCACUCCAUUUAUUGAUAGUUCAAAGCUGAUAUACUUAGGUGGCGUGAUCAGCGUAAUCACGCCUCCAAAAAUACGCAUCCCUGAUUAUCCCUUAUAUGGAAAAUCUUCAUUGAAUAUACAUUUAUUUACACUUCUGGAAUACCGGAAAGCAACCCCAAUACUUAUGCCGAUGAUUCUAAUACAUGAAACGAUUUAAGAUCACAAUAAAUUGAUUUUUGAAAAG
rnacentral:lncRNA from 1 species